rnacentral:rRNA from 1 species
CAGUCGCCACGGUAAAACGAAGGGUGCAAGCGUUACUCGGAAUUACUGGGCGUAAAGCGUGCGUAGGUGGUGGUUUAAGUCCGUUGUGAAAGCCCUGGGCUCAACCUGGGAAUUGCAGUGGAUACUGGGUCACUAGAGUGUGGUAGAGGAUAGUGGAAUUUCCGGUGUAGCAGUGAAAUGCGUAGAGAUCGGAAGGAACAUCUGUGGCGAAGGCGACUAUCUGGGCCAACACUGACACUGAGGCACGAAAGCGUGGGGAGCAAACAGGAUUAGAUACCCCAGUAGUCCCUGUCUCUUAUAC